rnacentral:rRNA from 1 species
UACAAGGCCCGGGAACGUAUUCACCGCGGCAUGCUGAUCCGCGAUUACUAGCGAUUCCAGCUUCACGCAGUCGAGUUGCAGACUGCGAUCCGAACUGAGAACAGAUUUAUGGGAUUGGCUAAACCUUGCGGUCUCGCAGCCCUUUGUUCUGUCCAUUGUAGCACGUGUGUAGCCCAGGUCAUAAGGGGCAUGAUGAUUUGACGUCAUCCCCACCUUCCUCCGGUUUGUCACCGGCAGUCACCUUAGAGUGCCCAACUAAAUGCUGGCAACUAAGAUCAAGGGUUGCGCUCGUUGCGGGACUUAACCCAACAUCUCACGACACGAGCUGACGACAACCAUGCACCACCUGUCACUCUGUCCCCGAAGGGAAAGCCCUAUCUCUAGGGUUGUCAGAGGAUGUCAAGACCUGGUAAGGUUCUUCGCGUUGCUUCGAAUUAAACCACAUGCUCCACCGCUUGUGCGGGCCCCCGUCAAUUCCUUUGAGUUUCAGUCUUGCGACCGUACUCCCCAGGCGGAGUGCUUAAUGCGUUAGCUGCAGCACUAAGGGGCGGAAACCCCCUAACACUUAGCACUCAUCGUUUACGGCGUGGACUACCAGGGUAUCUAAUCCUGUUCGCUCCCCACGCUUUCGCUCCUCAGCGUCAGUUACAGACCAGAGAGUCGCCUUCGCCACUGGUGUUCCUCCACAUCUCUACGCAUUUCACCGCUACACGUGGAAUUCCACUCUCCUCUUCUGCACUCAAGUUUCCCAGUUUCCAAUGACCCUCCCCGGUUGAGCCGGGGGCUUUCACAUCAGACUUAAGAAACCGCCUGCGAGCCCUUUACGCCCAAUAAUUCCGGACAACGCUUGCCACCUACGUAUUACCGCGGCUGCUGGCACGUAGUUAGCCGUGGCUUUCUGGUUAGGUACCGUCAAGGUGCGAGCAGUUACUCUCGCACUUGUUCUUCCCUAACAACAGAGCUUUACGAUCCGAAAACCUUCAUCACUCACGCGGCGUUGCUCCGUCAGACUUUCGUCCAUUGCGGAA